rnacentral:rRNA from 1 species
GACGAACGCUGGCGGCGUGCUUAACACAUGCAAGUCGAACGGAAAGGCCCUGCUUUUGUGGGGUGCUCGAGUGGCGAACGGGUGAGUAACACGUGAGUAACCUGCCCUUGACUUUGGGAUAACUUCAGGAAACUGGGGCUAAUACCGGAUAGGAGCUCCUGCUGCAUGGUGGGGGUUGGAAAGUUUCGGCGGUUUGGGAUGGACUCGCGGCUUAUCAGCUUGUUGGUGGGGUAGUGGCUUACCAAGGCUUUGACGGGUAGCCGGCCUGAGAGGGUGACCGGCCACAUGGGGACUGAGAUACGGCCCAGACUCCUACGGGAGGCAGCAGUGGGGAAUAUUGCACAAUGGGCGGAAGCCUGAUGCAGCAACGCCGCGUGCGGGAUGACGGCCUUCGGGUUGUAAACCGCUUUCGCCUGUGACGAAGCGUGAGUGACGGUAAUGGGUAAAGAAGCACCGGCUAACUACGU